rnacentral:tRNA from 1 species
AGCUAUUUAGUAUAAACAUAGUACAAUUAGUUUCCACCUAGUAGGUUCAGUUGAAAUAGUUA